GACGAACGCUGGCGGCGUGCUUAACACAUGCAAGUCGAACGGAAAGGCCCCUUCGGGGGUACUCGAGUGGCGAACGGGUGAGUAACACGUGAGUAACCUGCCCUUGACUUCGGGAUACCUUCAGGAAACUGGGGCUAAUACCGGAUAGGAAUUCUUGUCGCAUGGGGGGGGUUGGAAAGCUCCGGCGGUUGUGGAUGGACUCGCGGCGUAUCAGCUUGUUGGUGGGGUAGUGGCUUACCAAGGCUUUGACGGGUAGCCGGCCUGAGAGGGCGACCGGGCACAGUGGGACUGGGAUACAGCCCAGACUCCUACGGGAGGGAGCAGUGGGGAAAAUUUCACAAUGGGCGGAAACCCGAUGCAGCAACGCCGCGGGCGGGAAGGCGGGCUUCGGGUUGUAAACCGCUUUCAGCAAGGGCGGAACUUAAGGUGACGGUACCUGCAGAAGAAGCACCGGCUAACUACGUG
rnacentral:rRNA from 1 species